rnacentral:rRNA from 1 species
UGGGGAAUAUUGCACAAUGGGGGAAACCCUGAUGCAGCGACGCCGCGUGGAGGAAGAAGGCCUUCGGGUUGUAAACUCCUGUCGUAAGGGACGAUAGUGACGGUACCUUACAAGAAAGCCACGGCUAACUACGUGCCAGCAGCCGCGGUAAAACGUAGGUGGCAAGCGUUGUCCGGAAUUACUGGGUGUAAAGGGAGCGCAGGCGGGUCUGCAAGUUGGAAGUGAAACCCAUGGGCUCAACCCAUGAACUGCUUUCAAAACUGCGGAUCUUGAGUGGUGUAGAGGUAGGCGGAAUUCCCGGUGUAGCGGUGGAAUGCGUAGAUAUCGGGAGGAACACCAGUGGCGAAGGCGGCCUACUGGGCACUAACUGACGCUGAGGCUCGAAAGCAUGGGUAGCAAACAGGAUUAGAUACCCUUG